GAUGAACGCUGGCGGCGUGCCUAAUACAUGCAAGUCGAGCGAACAGAUGAGGAUUUUUCUCCUCUGACGUUAGCGGCGGACGGGUGAGUAACACGUGGAUAACCUACCUAUAAGACUGGGAUAACUUUGGGAAACCUGAGCUAAGACCGGAUAAUAUAUUGAACUUCAUGGUUCAAUAGUGAAAGACGGUUUUGCUGUCACUUAUAGAUGGAUCCGCGCCGCAUUAGCUAGUUGGUAAGGUGACGGCUUACCAAGGCAACGAUGCGUAGACGACCUGAGCGCGUCAACCGCCAGCCUGGAACUGAGAAACGGCACAGACACCGACGGGAGGACACAGUAGGGACUCCUACGCGAUGGGCGAAAGCCUGACGUAGCAAAGCCGCGUGAAUGCUGAAGGUCUUCGGAUCGUAAAACUCUGUAAGUAGGGAAGAAGAAAAGUGUAAGCAACUAUGCACGUAUUGACGGUACCUAAACAGAAAGCCACGGCUAACUACGUG
rnacentral:rRNA from 1 species